UUUAUGGAGAGUUUGAUCCUGGCUCAGGAUGAACGCUGGCGGCGUGCCUAAUACAUGCAAGUCGAGCGAACAGAUAAGGAGCUUGCUCCUUUGACGUUAGCGGCGGACGGGUGAGUAACACGU
rnacentral:rRNA from 1 species